CUCAGUUCAUCUUCCAUGUGUUUCCAGGGCUCAUGUAUCCUACUGUGUGUGAUGUUUGACUGAGACUUGCAGUAGGAGAGGCAGAAGUGAUAACUGAAGCAGCCUGGAGGACAGAAAUUCCAUUCGAAGUGAAGCCCUCAGGUCCUAGAGACCCUUCAGGUCCUUCAGGGACUAUGUAGAGCAACAAUAGUAGAAGCACUAGCAACGUGUUCACAGAACAUUUGUUUGAGGUUGUGUGGGCUGUUCAUUGGAAGAGCAAUGAAGUGGAUCAGAGGCAGAGCUGAAGCUGUUUCUGGAGUCUGUGGAGACCAUGGGCUUGAGGGUAGAAGCAAAGGACUGGAAGCUGCAGUUCACAGGGAGAAAGUACUGGAAGAAGAGGGACGCAGAAAACCCACACCUGGAAGCAAUUGCAAUUUCCAGAACUUGUGUUUUCUAGGGGUUCCCUAGAUGGUACAGGUUUGUUUAAUCAUCUUUUUUAAGGAUCAUUGUUCUUGCUUGGAUCCAAAUAUCCAUCUACUGCUUCUACAGGGAAUAAACAACAGCAGUGCUGCUGGAUUUGCUCUUCU
rnacentral:lncRNA from 1 species